AGCGCAGGCGGUUUUUUAAGUCUGAUGUGAAAGCCUUCGGCUUAACCGAAGAAGUGCAUCGGAAACUGGGAAACUUGAGUGCAGAAGAGGACAGUGGAACUCCAUGUGUAGCGGUGAAAUGCGUAGAUAUAUGGAAGAACACCAGUGGCGAAGGCGGCUGUCUGGUCUGUAACUGACGCUGAGGCUCGAAAGCAUGGGUAGCGAACA
rnacentral:rRNA from 1 species